UCGAGGAUCUUCGGCAAUGGGGGCAACCCUGACCGAGCGACGCCGCGUGUGCGAUGAAGGCCUUCGGGUUGUAAAGCACUGUCGAGGGGGAGAAAAGAGCAAUCUUGAUCUAUCCCUGGAGGAAGGACGGGCUAAGUUCGUGCCAGCAGCCGCGGUAAGACGAACCGUCCGAACGUUGUUCGGAAUCACUGGGCUUAAAGGGCGCGUAGGCGGGUUGCCAAGUCUGUGGUGAAAUCCUCCAGCUUAACUGGAGAACUGCCGUGGAUACUGGCGACCUCGAGGAAGAUAGGGGACUCUGGAACUGUGCGUGGAGCGGUGAAAUGCGUUGAUAUGCACAGGAACUCCGGUGGCGAAGGCGAGGGUCUGGAUCUUUUCUGACGCUGAGGCGCGAAAGCCAGGGGAGCGAACGG
rnacentral:rRNA from 1 species